UACGGAGGGUGCGAGCGUUGUUCCGAUUUACUGGGCGUAAAGGGCGCGCAGGCGGACCAUCAAGUCAGGGGUGAAAGGCCUGGGCUCAACCCGGGAAUUGCCUUUGAAACUGAAGGUCUAGAGUCCGAGAGAGGUUAGCGGAAUUCCCAGUGUAGAGGUGAAAUUCGUAGAUAUUGGGAAGAACACCAGUGGCGAAGGCGGCUAUCGGGCUCGGUAUUGACGCUGAGGCGCGAAAGCGUGGGGAGCAAACAGG
rnacentral:rRNA from 1 species